rnacentral:rRNA from 1 species
AGAGUUUGAUCAUGGCUCAGGACGAACGCUGGCGGCGUGCCUAAUACAUGCAAGUCGAGCGGAUUUUUGGGAGCUUGCUCCCAAAAAUUAGCGGCGGACGGGUGAGUAACACGUGGGCAACCUGCCUAUAAGACUGGGAUAACUUCGGGAAACCGGAGCUAAUACCGGAUAAUUCUUUUCCUCUCAUGAGGGAAGGCUGAAAGACGGUUUCGGCUGUCACUUAUAGAUGGGCCCGCGGCGCAUUAGCUAGUUGGUGAGGUAACGGCUCACCAAGGCAACGAUGCGUAGCCGACCUGAGAGGGUGAUCGGCCACACUGGGACUGAGACACGGCCCAGACUCCUACGGGAGGCAGCAGUAGGGAAUCUUCCGCAAUGGACGAAAGUCUGACGGAGCAACGCCGCGUGAGUGAUGAAGGUUUUCGGAUCGUAAAACUCUGUUGUUAGGGAAGAAUAAGUACGAGAGUAACUGCUCAUACCUUGACGGUACCUAACCAGAAAGCCACGGCUAACUACGUGCCAGCAGCCGCGGUAAUACGUAGGUGGCAAGCGUUGUCCGGAAUUAUUGGGCGUAAAGCGCGCGCAGGCGGUCUCUUAAGUCUGAUGUGAAAGCCCACGGCUCAACCGUGGAGGGUCAUUGGAAACUGGGAGACUUGAGUGCAGAAGAGAAGAGGAAUUCCACGUGUAGCGGUGAAAUGCGUAGAGAUGUGGAGGAACACCAGUGGCGAAGGCGACUCUUUGGUCUGUAACUGACGCUGAGGCGCGAAAGCGUGGGGAGCAAACAGGAUUAGAUACCCUAGUAGUCC